rnacentral:sRNA from 1 species
AAUUGCAAUGCUCUUUACUGGAAAGCUGUUUCGAAAUGACCUUUUACAAUAUUUGGGAAUAUUAUUAGACGCAUAAGAACGUCUCAGGCACACAACCUAUAUUUCGAACGUAUGUAGAACUCAAGAGUAAGAAACCAAAAGAAACUCAGGAAUCGGGAAUCAGGAAGGGAACAAACCAAAGUUAUAAGCACUGAUAUUUUAUUUGGAAAAACAAGAUCUUUUGAAAAGGGCUGAAGGAUGUAGAAGUACCAUUGACAGACUCCCUCAACGGAUGAGACCCCGCCCUAUGAAUCGAGGCCACACAACCCAAACAACUUUGCUUGCAAAAAUGUUUACUAAAUGAAGAGACAAAUAAAUAUGUUUAGAAAAUGUUUCGAAAUCUACAAGCAAAA